UGGCCUGGUCGCGACUGGCGUUGGGUGGAUCACCACCGGGGAGCGACGUGCGUCGUCAUCGAAGGAUUCGAGCCCGGGAGGGCGGCGCGAACGGGACACCGCGGGUCGUACGCCUGGGCCGGGGGU
rnacentral:ncRNA from 10 species